GCAGCAGAGACAGACCCAGGAAUGGUACAUCUUGCUUUAGGAAGUGACUUAACAACAUUAGGCCUCAAUCUGAACUCACCUGAAAAUCUCUACCCCAAAUUUUCAUCACCCUGGGCUUCUUCACCUUGUCGACCUCAAGACAUAGAUUUCCAUGUUCCAUCAGAGUAUUUAACAAACAUUCACAUUAGGGAUAAGCUGGCUGCAAUCAAGCUUGGCCAAUACGGAGAAGACCUCCUCUUCUAUCUGUAUUACAUGAACGGCGGGGAUGUAUUACAACUCUUAGCUGCAGUAGAGCUUUUUAACAGUGAUUGGAGAUACCACAAGGAGGAGCAGGUAUGGAUUACCAGGGCACCAGGCAUGGAGCCAACGAUGAAAACCAACACGUAUGAGCAGGGAACCUACUACUUCUUCGACUGUCUCAACUGGAGGAAAGUAGCUAAGGAGUUCCAUCUGGAAUAUGACAAAUUAGAAGAGCUGCCUCACCUGCCAUCCACCUUCAACUACAACGCUGCUCAGCAAGCCUUCUAAAAAGACUUCCCUCUUCUCGGGGUAUGGCUAUCUCAGCACAACACUCGACAUAACUGCAGAACUGAUGUGGCUCAGGCACCCUGGUUUUAAUUCCCUGAGGAUCUGGCAGUUGGCUUACAUAAAGGGUCACCAUUUGAGGUCCUGCCUUACCAAUUAUGUGCUGCCCAACAACUAAAUUUGUAAUUUGUUUUCUCUAGUUUGAGCAGGGUCUGAAUUUUUUCAUUUAUUUUCUUUUUGCCAGCAGACAGACUUGGGUCUAUAAAGACAAGCAAGUACACUGACAGAAGUUACCAUUUAGUUUCUUAAAUGUAAAAAAAGAAAACCCACAAAAGACUGAACAAAAUUAGACCACAAAAUUUGCAUUGUUCAUUGUAGCACUAUUGGUAAUAAAAGAACAGAUGUUUGUGCAUUUUUAUGUGAAGAUCCUUCUUGUAUUUCAUUUGGAAAGACGAGCAAGGUCUGCUUCUUUCAUUUCACUUCCCCUUCUGUUUCUGAAAGGCAGUUUUGCCAGGCUUACUGCAAGACUAUGACUGUAGAGAGGUGGCCACAGUCUCUGGCGGCUCCAGGCUGUGCUCUUACUGAGCUUCAUCUUUCCAGAAUGAGCAAAACACUGUCCAGUCUUUGUUACGAUUUUUGUAAUAAAUGUGUACAUUUAAAAAAAAUUUGGACAUCACAUGAAUAAAGGUAUGUAUGUACAAAUGUGUAUAUAUUAUAUAUAUGACAUCUAUUUUGGAAAAUGUUUGCCCCGCUGUACCUCAUUUUUAGGAGGUGUGCAUGGAUGCAAUAUAUGAAAAUGGGACAUUCUGGAACUGCUGGUCAGGGGACUUUGUCGCCCUGUGCACUAAAGGGCCAGAUUUUCAGCAGCCAAGGACAUCCAUACCCAAGUGAAUGUGAUGGGGCUCCAAGACGUGAACUGAGACAAUUCACUCUGGCUGUUUGAACAGCAGCAUUUCAUAGGAAGAGAAAAAAGAUCAAUCUUGUAUUUUCUGACCACAUAAAGGCUUCUUCUCUUUGUAAUAAAGUAGAAAAGCUCUCCUCAAAAAAA